rnacentral:rRNA from 1 species
AGAGUUUGAUCAUGGCUCAGAUUGAACGCUGGCGGCAGGCUUAACACAUGCAAGUCGAACGGUAACAGAACUAGCUUGCUAGUUGCUGACGAGUGGCGGACGGGUGAGUAACGCGUAGGAAUCUACCGAAUAGUGGGGGACAACAGUUGGAAACGGCUGCUAAUACCGCAUACGCCCUACGGGGGAAAGGAGGGGAUCUUCGGACCUUUCGCUAUUUGAUGAGCCUGCGUGAGAUUAGUUAGUUGGUGGGGUAAUGGCUCACCAAGGCGACGAUCUCUAGCUGGUCUGAGAGGAUGAUCAGCCACACUGGGACUGAGACACGGCCCAGACUCCUACGGGAGGCAGCAGUGGGGAAUAUUGCACAAUGGGGGAAACCCUGAUGCAGCCAUGCCGCGUGUGUGAAGAAGGCCUUCGGGUUGUAAAGCACUUUCAGUUGUGAGGAAAGGUUAAGGGUUAAUAACCCUUAGCUGU